GAUGAACGCUGGCGGCGUGCCUAAUACAUGCAAGUCGAGCGAACGGACGAGAAGCUUGCUUCUCUGAUGUUAGCGGCGGACGGGUGAGUAACACGUGGAUAACCUACCUAUAAGACUGGGAUAACUUCGGGAAACCGGAGCUAAUACCGGAUGAUAUUUUGAACCGCAUGGUUCAAAAGUGAAAGACGGUCUUGCUGUCACUUAUAGAUGGAUCCGCGCUGCAUUAGCUAGUUGGUAAGGUAACGGCUUACCAAGGCAACGAUGCAUAGCCGACCUGAGAGGGUGAUCGGCCACACUGGAACUGAGACACGGUCCAGACUCCUACGGGAGGCAGCAGUAGCGAAUCUUCCGCAAUGGGCGAAAGCCUGACGGAGCAACGCCGCGUGAGUGAUGAAGGUCUUCGGAUCGUAAAACUCUGUUAUUAGGGAAGAACAUAUGUGUAAGUAACUGUGCACAUCUUGACGGUACCUAAUCAGAAAGCCACGGCUAACUACGUG
rnacentral:rRNA from 1 species